UACGAAGGGUGCAAACGUUGCUCGGAAUUAUUGGGCGUAAAGCGCACGUAGGCGGCUUUGCAAGUCCGGUGUGAAAGUCACAGGCUCAACCUGUGAAUGCCGCUGGAAACUGUCUGGCUAGAGUCCGGAAGGGGCGAGUGGAAUUCCUGGUGUAGCGGUGAAAUGCGCAGAUAUCAGGAGGAACACCAAUGGCGAAGGCAGCUCGCUGGAACGGUACUGACGCUGUGGCGCGAAAGCGUGGGGAGCAAACAGG
rnacentral:rRNA from 1 species